rnacentral:misc_RNA from 1 species
GAUGAAGAACGUAGCGAAAUGCGAUAAGUAAUGUGAAUUGCAGAAUUUAGUGAAUCAUCGAAUCUUUGAACGCACAUUGCGCCCCUUGGUAUCCCGAGGGGCAUGCCUGUUCGAGCGUCAUUUCACCACUCAAGCCUGGCUUGGUGUUGGGCGACGUCCCCUUUGGGGACGCGCCUCGAAACGCUCGGCGGCGUGGCACCGGCUUUAAGCGUAGCAGAAUCUUUCGCUUUGGAAGUCGGGGCCCCGUCUGCCGGAAGACCUACUCGCAAGGUUGACCUCGGAUCAGGCAGGGAUACCCGCUGAACUUAAGCAUAUCAUAAGCGGAGGA